rnacentral:rRNA from 1 species
AUUGAACGCUGGCGGCAGGCUUAACACAUGCAAGUCGAACGAUGAUUAUCUAGCUUGCUAGAUAUGAUUAGUGGCGGACGGGUGAGUAACAUUUAGGAAUCUGCCUAGUAGUGGGGGAUAGCUCGGGGAAACUCGAAUUAAUACCGCAUACGACCUACGGGUGAAAGGGGGCGCAAGCUCUUGCUAUUAGAUGAGCCUAAAUCAGAUUAGCUAGUUGGUGGGGUAAAGGCCCACCAAGGCGACGAUCUGUAACUGGUCCGAGAGGAUGAUCAGUCACACCGGAACUGAGACACGGUCCGGACUCCUACGGGAGGCAGCAGUGGGGAAUAUUGGACAAUGGGGGCAACCCUGAUCCAGCCAUGCCGCGUGUGUGAAGAAGGCCUUUUGGUUGUAAAGCACUUUAAGCAGGGAGGAGAGGCUAAUGGUUAAUACCCAUUAGAUUAGACGUUACCUGCAGAAUAAGCACCGGCUAACUCUGUGCCAGCAGCCGCGGUAAUACAGAGGGUGCGAGCGUUAAUCGGAAUUACUGGGCGUAAAGCGAGUGUAGGUGGCUCAUUAAGUCACAUGUGAAAUCCCCGGGCUUAACCUGGGAACUGCAUGUGAUACUGGUGGUGCUAGAAUAUGUGAGAGGGAAGUAGAAUUCCAGGUGUAGCGGUGAAAUGCGUAGAGAUCUGGAGGAAUACCGAUGGCGAAGGCAGCUUCCUGGCAUAAUAUUGACACUGAGAUUCGAAAGCGUGGGUAGCAAACAGGAUUAGAUACCCUGGUAGUCCACGCCGUAAACGAUGUCUACUAGCCGUUGGGGUCCUUGAGACUUUAGUGGCGCAGUUAACGCGAUAAGUAGACCGCCUGGGGAGUACGGCCGCAAGGUUAAAACUCAAAUGAAUUGACGGGGGCCCGCACAAGCGGUGGAGCAUGUGGUUUAAUUCGAUGCAACGCGAAGAACCUUACCUGGUCUUGACAUAGUGAGAGUCCUGCAGAGAUGCGGGAGUGCCUUCGGGAAUUCACAUACAGGUGCUGCAUGGCUGUCGUCAGCUCGUGUCGUGAGAUGUUGGGUUAAGUCCCGCAACGAGCGCAACCCUUUUCCUUAUUUGCCAGCGGGUUAAGCCGGGAACUUUAAGGAUACUGCCAGUGACAAACUGGAGGAAGGCGGGGACGACGUCAAGUCAUCAUGGCCCUUACGACCAGGGCUACACACGUGCUACAAUGGUAGGUACAGAGGGUUGCUACACAGCGAUGUGAUGCUAAUCUCAAAAAGCCUAUCGUAGUCCGGAUUGGAGUCUGCAACUCGACUCCAUGAAGUCGGAAUCGCUAGUAGUCGCAGAUCAGAAUGCUGCGGUGAAUACGUUCCCGGGCCU